GAUGAACGCUGGCGGCGUGCCUAAUACAUGCAAGUCGAGCGAACAGACGAGGAGCUUGCUCCUCUGACGUUAGCGGCGGACGGGUGAGUAACACGUGGAUAACCUACCUAUAAGACUGGGAUAACCUCGGGAAACCGGAGCUAAUACCGGAUAAUAUAUUGAACCGCAUGGUUCAAUAGUGAAAGACGGUUUUGCUGUCACUUAUAGAUGGAUCCGCGCCGCAUUAGCUAGUUGGUAAGGUAACGGCUUACCAAGGCAACGAUGCGUAGCCGACCUGAGAGGGUGAUCGGCCACACUGGAACUGAGACACGGUCCAGACUCCUACGGGAGGCAGCAGUAGGGAAUCUUCCGCAAUGGGCGAAAGCCUGACGGAGCAACGCCGCGUGAGUGAUGAAGGUCUUCGGAUCGUAAAACUCUGUUAUUAGGGAAGAACAAAUGUGUAAGUAACUAUGCACGUCUUGACGGUACCUAAGCAGAAAGCCACGGCUAACUACGU
rnacentral:rRNA from 1 species